CUCACGGUCCUUACAUAGGAUGUGGCCUGCCCAUCGCCAUUUUCUCUUCUUAAUCUGAACCUCCAUUGGUUUGUGAUUUGUUUUGGUCCACAAGGUUUCAUUUGGCACUCUAUCAUACCACUUGAGCUGGAGAAUGUGUCUUAAGGCAUUUAUUGACAAACCUCUGAAUUCUCUUAGUGUUGUUCUGAACAACGCGCCACGCCUCCGAGCCAUACAGCAGCACUGAUUUCACAUUGGAAGUGAAAAUACAUAGUUUGGUUCUUGUUGAAAUGGCUCUUGUACCUCAGACUGGUCAUAGUAUGGCAAAGGCUUGUUGAGCCUUUCAUAUUCUUGAGCUGAUAGCCUCUUCAGUCCCCCAUUCUUGCUGAUAACACUUCCCAAGUAUACAAACUGAUCUACCUCUUGCACUGCUUUGCCUACAAUUGUAAUUUCACCUUCCUAUCUGGUUAAUGCGCAUCAACUUGGUCUUCUCUUGACUAAUCUUGAGGCCCACUCACUCAGCUGUUUCCUGUAGGGCAUCUGUCUUCUCUCCCAUAUGCUCUAAUUUGUCUGCAAGCAGAGCUAAGUCAUUUUCAAGUUUCCUAGUUUGAGUCCAUUGGAGUCCCCUUCCUGAGUCAGCGUAUGCUGUUUUUGUGACCCAGUCUAGGACAAUCAGAAAGAGAAAUGGAGAAAGAAGGCAGCCUUGGCGUACACCUAUUGUGACCUGGAAUUUUUCCGACAGUUUUCAAUCACGGAUGACCUGUCAAGAGUAUUCUUCAUACAGUUUCUUGAUGAUGGUAAUUUAGUUUGCCUGGAACUCUGCAAUGUUGCAUGAUGGUCCAGAUGGACUGCCUGUCCACACUAUUGAAGGCUUUCAUAUGGCCCACUUUGCACCAAAUCUGGGACAAAUACACACCAGCGGCUGCUCACUCUAAAAUCCAAUAAUGAGACACCUUUUCUAUUCCUAAGGGGCCACAAGAUGAGAGCUCCUUCUGGGACUGCUUCCUUGCUACCUAGGCAGUGCCCAAACUGUCUGAGACUCCUCAGACUGCUGUACUAACCCCUCACUUCCACUCGUGCAUCAGUUGUAACCCAUAGUGCUAUAACAAAUUAUCUCUGUGAGGGGUUGCUUCCCCCAGACUGAGAUGUAGUCUCCUCUGGGGUGGGUAUCUAUUGGCCAUUGUUUGCCAGUCACAGGACAAAGAAAUUUCUUAUGAAUCUGAGCUCCCCAAUACUGUCACUUUUCCUACUAAUGAAGCAUCACCGAGGACUACCUUAGUAUUUGAGUGGCUGGCAGAGGCUGCUGCUAACAUCCUAUCCAUUUUUCAAGUACCGAAAGGAAAUCAGGUUUCACUUCUCCCCUUAUCAAAACUUCAGGAUACAAACUUGUUGCUGUGAAUCUUCCUCGGAGAGAGGAAGGUGGGGAGGAGGAAGGGACUCCGGCUUUAUCCCUCCUGAGGCAUAUUUUUGGUCUCCCCAAGACUAUUGUUAAUCUAGAGUCAUUGCAAGGAAAGACAGGGAGUGAUGGGCAGAGGAAAUUCAAUGUUGAUAAAUGCAAAGUAAUGCACACUGGAAAUCAUACUUCCAAAUAUACAUAUGAAAUGGAGUCUAAAUUAGCUGUUAUGAUUCCAAAAAGAGAUCUUGGAGUCAUGGAUAGUUCUCUGAAAACCUCCAUUCUAUGUUCAAUGGCAGUCACAAAAGUGGACAGAAUGUUGGGAAUCAUUAAGAACAGGAUAGUUAUGACAGAAAAUAUCAUAUUGCCUCUAUAAAUCCAUAGUAUGCUCACAUCUUGAAUACUGUGUGCAGAUGUGGUCUUCCCAUCUUAAAACAGAUCUAUUGGAAUUGGAAAAAGUUCAGAAAAGGACAACAAAAAUGAUUAGGGGUUUGGAAUGGCUGCCAUAUGAAGAAAAAAUAAGAAGACUGGGGCUUUUCAACUUGGAAGAGAGAUGACUAAAGGGGGUAUGAGAGAGGUCUUUAAAAUCAUGAUCUCAGUACAGAAAGUAGCUAUGGAAGAGUUAUUUACUCCUCAUAACAGAAGAAUUAGGGGUCUCCAAAUGAAUUAAUAGGCAGUAGGUUUAAAACAAAUGGAAGUUAUUUCUUCAUACAAUGCACAGUCAACCUGUGGAAUUCAUGCCAGAGGAAAUUGUGAGAGCCAAUACUAUAAUAGGGUUCAAAAAAUAACUACCAUAUAUAUUUGUUCAUUAGCCCAUUUGUUUGACUCCCAGCUUGUCAAAGUUGUUAGAAAAGAAACAGGUGACCCAGGAGCGGAUGGGGUAAACGGACCACUUUAUUGCACGCUUACCUUGGACCCCCAAAACAGUGUUCCAAGUGGCAAUGAUUUGGCACCAGUUACACUCCUUUAUCAUUUUAGUAUGUUAAUUCACACAUUUAUAACUACUUCCCCAUAAUCCUUAUUUAGUAAUGUUAACACCUAUUCAAUGAAUAUCAAUAGGCACGUGAUUAUUAUACCCACUCCUGUUUACUGUUUACAGGAUUUUCAGUUAGAUCAACACUUAGGAUCAUUACAUACUUCCCGAAUUAGCAGGUUACAGAUAUUACAAAGGAUGUGACCCUGAAACUGUUUUUACAGAGCAAGUGACAAAAUAAAGAAGAGCAGCUGUAUGGAAAAGAGCAUAUUUAUACAUCAGAAAAGAUAAUACCUGCUUUGGAUGGACCCUUUAUCUGUCUUUGCAGGCUGCAAGGACAAAGGGGAGAAAACAUGUUCAAAGGACAAUGCCUGCUGUGGCCAGACCCCCUACCACUACGAUAUUUUUUUUCCCGGACCCCUAUUAAUUUUUUACAUAUCCCAACAAAGUUUCCAGUUUCCAAACUUGAUGUCAUUUCCCAACUGGAACAAAGAGAAGGGCCGUUGUCCCCAGAUUUCUAGGGAUCAGAUGAAAAAGAAACCCUGAGAGGCAACUGUGCCGGUGAGUGAUCAUUACACCAGCUCAGAGUCUGAAGGAAAUAGCUAGGAUUCUCAACACAGACCCUGUGAACUCUCUGAGUCCCCACAGAUGCUGGGAUGGUGAGUGAAACCAUGGAGCAGAAUCC